rnacentral:rRNA from 1 species
UACGUAGGGGGCAAGCGUUGUCCGGAUUUAUUGGGCGUAAAGAGCGUGUAGGCGGUCAGGUAGGUCCGUUGUGAAAACUCGAGGCUCAACCUCGAGACGCCGAUGGAAACCAUCUGACUAGAGUCCGGAAGAGGAGAGUGGAAUUCCUGGUGUAGCGGUGAAAUGCGCAGAUAUCAGGAAGAACACCCGUGGCUAAGGCGGCUCUCUAGUACGGUACUGACGCUGAGGAGCGAAAGCGUGGGUAGCAAACAGG